rnacentral:rRNA from 1 species
CGUGUAGGCGGUCGGGCAAGUCAGAUGUGAAAGCCUUCUGCUUAACAGAAGAAGUGCAUUUGAAACUACCCGGCUAGAGUACGGGAGAGGAGAGUGGAAUUCCCGGUGUAGAGGUGAAAUUCGUAGAUAUCGGGAGGAACACCAGUGGCGAAGGCGGCUCUCUGGUCCGAUACUGACGCUGAGACGCGAAAGCGUGGGGAGCAAACAGGAUUAGAUACCCUGGUAGUCCACGCCCUAAACGAUGGGCACUAGGUGUAGGAGGUAUUGACCCCUUCUGUGCCGAAGCUAACGCAUUAAGUGCCCCGCCUGGGGAGUACGGCCGCAAGGCUAAA